GACGUAGGUGGCGAACGUUAUCCGGAAUUACUGGGCGUAAAGUGUGCGCAGGCGGCAGAGCAAGUCGAGUGUGAAAGCCCCGGGCUUAACUUGGGAAUUGCGCUCGAAACUACUUUGCUGGAGUGUGGCAGAGGAAGGUGGAAUUCCACGUGUAGCGGUGAAAUGCGUAGAGAUGUGGAGGAACACCAAUGGCGAAGGCAGCCUUCUGGGCCAACACUGACGCUCAUGCACGAAAGCGUGGGGAGCAAACAGG
rnacentral:rRNA from 1 species